rnacentral:rRNA from 1 species
UUUUUGCGGUCUGAUACUAUCUAUACGCAAUUAUACCGUGAAACUGCGAAUGGCUCAUUAAAUCAGUUAUCGUUUAUUUGAUAGUACCUUACUACUUGGAUAACCGUGGUAAUUCUAGAGCUAAUACAUGCUGAAAACCCCAACUUCGGGAGGGGUGUAUUUAUUAGAUAAAAAACCAACGCCCUUCGGGGCUUCUUGGUGAUUCAUGAUAACUUAACGGAUCGCAUGGCCUUGCGCCGGCGACGGUUCAUUCAAAUUUCUGCCCUAUCAACUUUCGAUGGUAAGGUAUUGGCUUACCAUGGUUUCAACGGGUAACGGGGAAUUAGGGUUCGAUUCCGGAGAGGGAGCCUGAGAAACGGCUACCACAUCCAAGGAAGGCAGCAGGCGCGCAAAUUAUCCAAUCCCGACACGGGGAGAUAGUGACAAUAAAUACUGAUACAGGGCUCUUUUGGGUCUUGUAAUUGGAAUGAGUACAAUUUAAACCUCUUAACGAGGAACAAUUGGAGGGCAAGUCUGGUGCCAGCAGCCGCGGUAAUUCCAGCUCCAAUAGCGUAUAUUAAAGUUGUUGCAGUUAAAAAGCUCGUAGUUGAACCUUGGGUCUGGCUGGCAGGUCCGCCUCACCGCGUGUACUUGUCCGGCCGGGCCUUCCUUCUGGAGAACCUCAUGCCCUUCACUGGGCGUGUUGGGGACCAGGACUUUUACUUUGAAAAAAUUAGAGUGUUCAAAGCAGGCCUUUGCUCGAAUACGUUAGCAUGGAAUAAUAGAAUAGGACGUGCGGUCCUAUUUUGUUGGUUUCUAGGACCGCCGUAAUGAUUAAUAGGGACAGUCGGGGGCAUCAGUAUUCAAUUGUCAGAGGUGAAAUUCUUGGAUUUAUUGAAGACUAACUACUGCGAAAGCAUUUGCCAAGGAUGUUUUCAUUAAUCAGUGAACGAAAGUUAGGGGAUCGAAGACGAUCAGAUACCGUCGUAGUCUUAACCGUAAACUAUGCCGACUAGGGAUCGGGCGAUGUUCUUUUUUCUGACUCGCUCGGCACCUUACGAGAAAUCAAAGUUUUUUGGGUUCUGGGGGGGAGUAUGGUUCGCAAGGCUGAAACUUAAAGGAAAUUUUGACGAAAGAGA